UCCACGCCCUAAACGAUGAACACUAGUCGUCGGGAUGCUUGUCAUCUCGGUGAUGCACUUAACAGAUUAAGUGUUCCGCCUGGGGAGUACGGUCGCAAGAUUAAAACUCAAAGGAAUAGACGGGGACCCGCACUCUAGGGCAACACACGUGCUACAAUGGUUAGGACAGUGAGAAGCGAUACCGCGAGGUGGAGCCAAUCUCAUAAAGCGUCUCUCAGUUCGGAUAGCAGUCUGCAACUCGACUGCUUGAAGCUGGAAUCACUAGUAAUCGUAGAUCAGCAAUGCUACGGUGAAUACGUUCCCGGGUCUUGUACUCACCGCCCGUCACACCAUGGGAUUGAUUUCACCCGAAAUUGGG
rnacentral:rRNA from 1 species